rnacentral:rRNA from 1 species
GAUGAACGCUGGCGGCGUGCCUAAUACAUGCCAGUCGAGCGAACAGACGAGGAGCUUGCUCCUCUGACGUUAGCGGCGGACGGGUGAGUAACACGUGGAUAACCUACCUAUAAGACUGGGAUAACUUCGGGAAACCGGAGCUAAUACCGGAUAAUAUAUUGAACCGCAUGGUUCAAUAGUGAAAGACGGUUUUGCUGUCACUUAUAGAUGGAUCCGCGCCGCAUUAGCUAGUUGGUAAGGUAACGGCUUACCAAGGCGACGAUGCGUAGCAGACCUGAGAGGGUGAUCGGCCACACUGGAACUGAGACACGGUCCAGACUCCUACGGGAGGCAGCAGUAGGGAAUCUUCCGCAAUGGGCGAAAGCCUGACGGAGCAACGCCGCGUGAGUGAUGAAGGUCUUCGGAUCGUAAAACUCUGUUAUUAGGGAAGAACAAAUGUGUAAGUAACUAUGCACGUCUUGACGGUACCUAAUCAGAAAGCCACGGCUAACUACGUG